rnacentral:rRNA from 1 species
UACGAAGGGGGCGAGCGUUGUUCGGAAUCAUUGGGCGUAAAGCGCGUGUAGGUGGUCAAGUAAGUCGGUUGUGAAAUCCCUGGGCUUAACCGAGGAAGUGCAUUCGAAACUACUUGGCUAGAGGACGGUAGAGGGAGGUGGAAUUCCUAGUGUAGAGGUGAAAUUCGUAGAUAUUAGGAGGAAUACCUGUGGCGAAGGCGGCCUCCUGGGUCGUUCCUGACACUGAGACGCGAAAGCGUGGGUAGCAAACAGG